AAGUCGUAACAAGGUUUCCGUAGGUGAACCUGCGGAAGGAUCAUUAACACGUAUCCACGUUUAUCAACCAACUUACAUACUACGAACCUGUGCUCCCUGAAUGAUCGAAUUCGAUGCUGUCUGAAGGAGGCUAUAGUGGGUUCUAUCGCUUUCGAGCGUUUUGAACACGUCUUCAUUAGGACUUCAAUCCGAUGAGAUUGAGGCUAGAGACUGCGUCAUUCAGGCUUAUUCCUCUCACGUAUACUUCCAACCACUUUCGAACAUACGUGAGAGACCCAUAACCAAACUAUUCACCACAUUUUACCUAUUCUGGCUAACCCAAUAUAUUCCCUACAUUAAUUUGGAGACCGAAUAUAUUUUAAGAUUUAUCUUAACUAAGCACAACUCUUAGCAAUGGAUAUCUUGGUUCUC
rnacentral:misc_RNA from 1 species